rnacentral:tRNA from 1 species
AGCUCGGUAGCGCAACGGUAGCGCGUCUGCGUCCACUUGCUAUGGGAAGAUCUCGGUUCGACUCCGAGUCGAGCUA